rnacentral:rRNA from 1 species
UACAGAGGGUGCGAGCGUUAAUCGGAAUUACUGGGCGUAAAGCGUGCGUAGACGGCUAUCUAAGUCGGGUGUGAAAGCCCCGGGCUCAACCUGGGAAUUGCAUUCGAGACUGAAUAGCUAGGGUACGGUAGAGGGAAGCGGAAUUUCCGGUGUAGCGGUGAAAUGCGUAGAGAUCAGGAAGAACAUCGGUGGCGAAGGCGCUCUGCUGGACCAUAACUGACACUCAGGGACGAAAGCUAGGGGAGCGAAUGGG